CUAGAGUUUGAUCCUGGCUCAGAGUGAACGCUGGCGGCAGGCUUAACACAUGCAAGCCCAGCGGCAGCGCGGGGGCAACCCUGGCGGCGAGCGGCGGACGGGUGAGGAAUGCGUCNGAAUCUGCCUCUUUGUGGGGGAUAACGUAGGGAGACUUACGCUAUACCNCUUACNNCCUUCGGGUGAAAGUGGGGGACCGCAAGCGCUUACGAGUAGGGAUGACCCGACGNCUGAUUAGGCCCUGUGCGGGNUAAAGGCCCCCGAAGGCGACGUCCCGUACUGGNUGUGAGACGAUGUAUGGCACGCUUGAGAUGAGACCGGGCCAGAUGCCUACGGAAGUGCACGNUGAGGAUCUUUGGACAGUGUGGUCGAGCGUGAUCCCUCGCAGAGCUAAGGAGCGUGUCCACGUUGGGGAUAGGGGUGUGAGUGAGCUGGGGGAGGGGGCCCGCACGGUGGCUUGGUCUGGCGUGUUGAAGGUGUGGAUUGAAGCGGACAAGAGGGAGAGAAGAGAGAGAGAGGAAAGGAGGAAAAAAGAGAGGGGGAAAAGGGGGUGAGUUUGUGAUUAUUGGGUGAGUGGUGUAAGGGUGUAGGGUUGAUAGUGGUAAAUGUGAGAGGAGAUUGAGGAUAGGAAGGGUUAUGUUUAAUUAUUGGGAUUGGGUGAUGUUUGAAUGAUGAGUAGAGAGAGAGUGUGUGUUUGGAGACGGUGGAUUGUUGGGGUGGGUAGUGUGUUAUAUAUAUGUGAAUUGGUGCGCGUGUCAUGAGUAUAAUUGGCUGUGCGGGCGCCUUGUGGGUGAGUGUGUGGCCGUGAUUGAUUGGGUGGG
rnacentral:rRNA from 1 species